rnacentral:rRNA from 1 species
UACGUAGGGUGCGAGCGUUGUCCGGAAUUAUUGGGCGUAAAGAGCUCGUAGGCGGUUUGUCGCGUCUGCUGUGAAAACUCGGGGCUUAACCCCGGGCCUGCAGUGGGUACGGGCAGACUAGAGUGCGGUAGGGGAGACUGGAAUUCCUGGUGUAGCGGUGAAAUGCGCAGAUAUCAGGAGGAACACCGGUGGCGAAGGCGGGUCUCUGGGCCGUAACUGACGCUGAGGAGCGGAAGCGUGGGGAGCGAACAGG